rnacentral:tRNA from 1 species
GCCCAGGUGGCGGAAUUGGCAUACGCUGCAGGUUUAGACCCUGUUUAUUGAGAGUUCGAGUCUCUCCCUGGGCACCA